UAAAAGAUAAACUAAUAAAUUCAAGCUAACGGGCUCAUACCCCGUAAAUGAGAGUUCAACCUCUCUCUUUUUA
rnacentral:tRNA from 1 species